AUGCGGAGCUACACAUGCAGUCGAGCGGUAACAUUUAGAAGCUUGCUUUUUUUGCUGACGAGCGGCGGACGGGUGAGUAAUGCCUGGGAAUAUGCCUUGAUGUGGGGGAUAACCAUUGGAAACGAUGGCUAAUACCGCAUAAUGCCUACGGGCCAAAGAGGGGGAUCUUCGGACCUCUCGCGUCAAGAUUAGCCCAGGUGGGAUUAGCUAGUUGGUGAGGUAAUGGCUCACCAAGGCGACGAUCCCUAGCUGGUCUGAGAGGAUGAUCAGCCACACUGGAACUGAGACACGGUCCAGACUCCUACGGGAGGCAGCAGUGGGGAAUAUUGCACAAUGGGCGCAAGCCUGAUGCAGCCAUGCCGCGUGUGUGAAGAAGGCCUUCGGGUUGUAAAGCACUUUCAGUCGUGAGGAAGGUAGUUGCGUUAAUAGCGUAAUUAUUUGACGUUAGCGACAGAAGAAGCACCGGCUAACUCCGUGCCAGCAGCCGCGGUAAUACGGAGGGUGCGAGCGUUAAUCGGAAUUACUGGGCGUAAAGCGCAUGCAGGUGGUUUGUUAAGUCAGAUGUGAAAGCCCGGGGCUCAACCUCGGAAUUGCAUUUGAAACUGGCAGACUAGAGUACUGUAGAGGGGGGUAGAAUUUCAGGUGUAGCGGUGAAAUGCGUAGAGAUCUGAAGGAAUACCGGUGGCGAAGGCGGCCCCCUGGACAGAUACUGACACUCAGAUGCGAAAGCGUGGGGAGCAAACAGGAUUAGAUACCCUGGUAGUCCACGCCGUAAACGAUGUCUACUUGGAGGUUGUGGCCUUGAGCCGUGGCUUUCGGAGCUAACGCGUUAAGUAGACCGCCUGGGGAGUACGGUCGCAAGAUUAAAACUCAAAUGAAUUGACGGGGGCCCGCACAAGCGGUGGAGCAUGUGGGUUUAAUUCGAUGCAACGCGAGACCUUACCUACUCUUGACAUCCAGAGAAGCCAGCGGAGACGCAGUGUGCCCUC
rnacentral:rRNA from 1 species